rnacentral:SRP_RNA from 1 species
GCUGGGUGUGGUGGUGCAUGCCUGUAGUCCCGGCUACUUGGGAGGCCGAGGUGGGAGGAUCUCUUGAGCCCAGGAGGUUGAGGCUGCAGUGAGCCGAGAUCAUGCCACUGCACUCCAGCCUGAGCGACACAGCGAGACCCUGUCUCAA